ACUAUUUUGGCAGAUUAGUGCAAUAAAUUUAGAAUUUAUUUAUGUAGAUUAUUCUACAAUUAGUA
rnacentral:tRNA from 1 species